AUUGAACGCUGGCGGCAUGCUUUACACAUGCAAGUCGAACGGCAGCGCGGGCUUCGGCCUGGCGGCGAGUGGUGAACGGGUGAGUAAUGCAUCGGAACGUGCCCAGUAGUGGGGGAUAGCCCGGCGAAAGCCGGAUUAAUACCGCAUACGACCUGAGGGUGAAAGCGGGGGACCGAAAGGCCUCGCGCUAUUGGAGCGGCCGAUGUCGGAUUAGCUAGUUGGUGGGGUAAAGGCUUACCAAGGCGACGAUCCGUAGCUGGUCUGAGAGGACGACCAGCCACACUGGGACUGAGACACGGCCCAGACUCCUACGGGAGGCAGCAGUGGGGAAUUUUGGACAAUGGGGGCAACCCUGAUCCAGCCAUGCCGCGUGCGGGAAGAAGGCCUUCGGGUUGUAAACCGCUUUUGUUCGGGAAGAAAUCCUCUGGGCUAAUACCCCGGGGGGAUGACGGUACCGGAAGAAUAAGCACCGGCUAACUACGUG
rnacentral:rRNA from 1 species